rnacentral:tRNA from 4 species
CUACGGACUUAAAAUCCGUCGACUUUAUAAGUCGUGAGGGUUCAAGUCCCUCUAUCCCCA